rnacentral:rRNA from 1 species
GGUUAAGCGACUAAGCGUACACGGUGGAUGCCCUGGCAGUCAGAGGCGAUGAAGGACGUGCUAAUCUGCGAAAAGCGUCGGUAAGGUGAUAUGAACCGUUAUAGCCGGCGAUGUCCGAAUGGGGAAACCCAGUGCAAUUCGUUGCACUAUCGUUUGAUGAAUACAUAGUCAAACGAGGCGAACCGGGGGAACUGAAACAUCUAAGUACCCCGAGGAAAAGAAAUCAACCGAGAUUCCCCCAGUAGCGGCGAGCGAACGGGGAGCAGCCCGGAGUCUGAAUCAGCUUGUGUGUUAGUGGAAGCGUCUGGAAAGUCGCAGGGUACAGGGUGAUACUCCCGUACACUAAAGCACACAGGUUGUGAACUCGAAGAGUAGGGCGGGACACGUGGUAUCCUGUCUGAAUAUGGGGGGACCAUCCUCCAAGGCUAAAUACUCCUGACUGACCGAUAGUGAACCAGUACCGUGAGGGAAAGGCGAAAAGAACCCCGGCGAGGGGAGUGAAAAAGAACCUGAAACCGUGUACGUACAAGCAGUAGGAGCCUCUUUAUGGGGUGACUGCGUACCUUUUGUAUAAUGGGUCAGCGACUUAUAUUCUGUAGCAAGGUUAACCGUAUAGGGGAGCCGCAGGGAAACCGAGUCUUAACUGGGCGUUAAGUUGCAGGGUAUAGACCCGAAACCCGGUGAUCUAGCCAUGGGCAGGUUGAAGGUUGGGUAACACUAACUGGAGGACCGAACCGACUAAUGUUGAAAAAUUAGCGGAUGACUUGUGGCUGGGGGUGAAAGGCCAAUCAAACCGGGAGAUAGCUGGUUCUCCCCGAAAGCUAUUUAGGUAGCGCCUCGUGAAUUCAUCUUCGGGGGUAGAGCACUGUUUCGGCUAGGGGGUCAUCCCGACUUACCAACCCGAUGCAAACUACGAAUACCGAAGAAUGUUAUCACGGGAGACACACGGCGGGUGCUAACGUCCGUCGUGAAGAGGGAAACAACCCAGACCGCCAGCUAAGGUCCCAAAGUCAUGGUUAAGUGGGAAACGAUGUGGGAAGGCCCAGACAGCCAGGAUGUUGGCUUAGAAGCAGCCAUCAUUUAAAGAAAGCGUAAUAGCUCACUGGUCGAGUCGGCCUGCGCGGAAGAUGUAACGGGGCUAAACCAUGCACCGAAGCUGCGGCAGCGACACUAUGUGUUGUUGGGUAGGGGAGCGUUCUGUAAGCCGUUGAAGGUGGCCUGUGAGGGUUGCUGGAGGUAUCAGAAGUGCGAAUGCUGACAUAAGUAACGAUAAUGCGGGUGAAAAACCCGCACGCCGGAAGACCAAGGGUUCCUGUCCAACGUUAAUCGGGGCAGGGUGAGUCGACCCCUAAGGCGAGGCCGAAAGGCGUAGUCGAUGGGAAACAGGUUAAUAUUCCUGUACUCGGUGUUACUGCGAAGGGGGGACGGAGAAGGCUAUGUUGGCCGGGCGACGGUUGUCCCGGUUUAAGCAUGUAGGCGGAUGUUCCAGGUAAAUCCGGAACGUUACUAACGCUGAGGUGUGAUGACGAGGCACUACGGUGCUGAAGUGACAAAUGCCCUGCUUCCAGGAAAAGCCUCUAAGCAUCAGGUAACAUCAAAUCGUACCCCAAACCGACACAGGUGGUCAGGUAGAGAAUACCAAGGCGCUUGAGAGAACUCGGGUGAAGGAACUAGGCAAAAUGGUGCCGUAACUUCGGGAGAAGGCACGCUGAUAUGUAGGUGAAGUGGUUUACCCAUGGAGCUGAAAUCAGUCGAAGAUACCAGCUGGCUGCAACUGUUUAUUAAAAACACAGCACUGUGCAAACACGAAAGUGGACGUAUACGGUGUGACGCCUGCCCGGUGCCGGAAGGUUAAUUGAUGGGGUUAUCCGUAAGGAGAAGCUCUUGAUCGAAGCCCCGGUAAACGGCGGCCGUAACUAUAACGGUCCUAAGGUAGCGAAAUUCCUUGUCGGGUAAGUUCCGACCUGCACGAAUGGCGUAAUGAUGGCCAGGCUGUCUCCACCCGAGACUCAGUGAAAUUGAACUCGCUGUGAAGAUGCAGUGUACCCGCGGCAAGACGGAAAGACCCCGUGAACCUUUACUAUAGCUUGACACUGAACACUGGUCCUUGAUGUGUAGGAUAGGUGGGAGGCUUUGAAGUGUGGACGCCAGUCUGCAUGGAGCCAUCCUUGAAAUACCACCCUUUAAUGGCUGGUGUUCUAACGUGGGCCCCUAAUCGGGGUUGCGGACAGUGUCUGGUGGGUAGUUUGACUGGGGCGGUCUCCUCCUAAAGAGUAACGGAGGAGCACGAAGGUCAGCUAAUCCUGGUCGGACAUCAGGAGGUUAGUGCAAUGGCAUAAGCUGGCUUGACUGCGAGCGUGACGGCGCGAGCAGGUGCGAAAGCAGGUCAUAGUGAUCCGGUGGUUCUGAAUGGAAGGGCCAUCGCUCAACGGAUAAAAGGUACUCCGGGGAUAACAGGCUGAUACCGCCCAAGAGUUCAUAUCGACGGCGGUGUUUGGCACCUCGAUGUCGGCUCAUCACAUCCUGGGGCUGAAGUAGGUCCCAAGGGUAUGGCUGUUCGCCAUUUAAAGUGGUACGCGAGCUGGGUUUAGAACGUCGUGAGACAGUUCGGUCCCUAUCUGCCGUGGGCGCUGGAGAAUUGAGGGGGGCUGCUCCUAGUACGAGAGGACCGGAGUGGACGCAUCACUGGUGUUCGGGUUGUCAUGCCAAUGGCAUUGCCCGGUAGCUAAAUGCGGAAGAGAUAAGUGCUGAAAGCAUCUAAGCACGAAACUUGCCCCGAGAUGAGUUCUCCCUGACUCCUUGAGAGUCCUGAAGGAACGUUGAAGACGACGACGUUGAUAGGCCGGGUGUGUAAGCGCAGCGAUGCGUUGAGCUAACCGGUACUAAUGAACCGUGAGGCUUAACCUU